rnacentral:lncRNA from 10 species
CUAGGGAAAUUGAUGGGUUGUGGAUGUGUGUACACUCAGCAAAUAUGGGUGCCUUUCCCUGCAUCAGACCCACUCAUUGUGGCUUCUCCCCAAAAACGUUCACAAACAGGGACAUUUAGAGUCUUUGGGAGGUGAUUAGGUCAUGAAGGUGGAUCCUUCAUGAGUGGGAUUGCUACCCUUAUGUUGGAAGUAAAGCUCGAAGUUGCGAAGAAAAUGAGCACUUAAACAAAAGAUUUCUUAGCAAGGCAAAAUUUACUUCUGUAAAGGUGAUUAUUACAGAACUGCUUCUUCUAGCAGAAAAUAGGAAAUUAAAUGUCCACCCGUAAGGGAUUUGCUGAAUAAAUGAUACAGCCACACCAAGGACUUAAAAAGGCCUUUUGAAAGAAUCCAUUAGCACUAUGCCAUCACUUGGCAGGAUUUCCAUAAGAUCUUUUCCAAGUGAGAUCGUGCCACUGCACUCUAGCCUGGGUG